CUGAUUCUUUUAGGCCCAAACUAUCUACACACUUGGUGUGUAGAUAGUUACCCCCAAAAGGUGUUUUUUGUCCUUAUGUGCACACCCUGCAGUGUCGAAUUGUGGUGUGUAGAUAGGCAAAUGAGUGUGCCAAUAGGUACACCCUUAUUUUAGGCCAAUAGGUACACCCUUUAUGUGCACACCCUGCAGUGUCGAAUUGUGGUGUGUAGAUAGGCAAAUGAGUGUGCCAAUAGGUACACCCUUCUUAACCUAAUGGAGAAAAAUAUGGACAUCAAAGAUCAAAUUCUACGCAAAAAAUGAGCUGGGUAACUGACUAAAGAGACCACCUCCUCCCUCUUGAAAGCCUAGUAAAACUUGUAUGUUAAAUUUUUCAAGAACCCUAUAAAAUAAAUUAAUUGGACCCUAUAUUAUCAACAGCAAAGAUGGUUUAGUGGUAAAUCCCCCUGUGUUCUAUCAAAUAGAUCCCAAGUUCAAGUUUCACAUAUCUUUUUUUUUAGUUUUUUUUCCCAUCAAAACUAAACUAGUGUUUUAAAACAACACAACCACCCAUUGACCCUCUAAUUUGCUUCUUUAAAAUGAUAAUGUUGAUUUUAUUAACACUUGAUUACCAAAUAAAACUUCCAACAUAUAAUGUAGUGGUUUCAUGUUCACUAAAUGCUAGUUUAUUUUUUCCCAUCAAAAUUAAACUAGUGUUUUAAAAUAGCACAACCAUCCAUUGACCUUCUAAUUUGCUUCUUUAAAAUGAUAAAUGGAAUUUUGAUUUUAUUUAACACUUGAUUACCAAAUAAGACUUUCAACAUAUAAUGUAGUGGUUUCAUGUCCACUAAAUGCUUCUACAUUAUUUCCUAGCCUGACCCGACUACGAUGACCGACCCGAAAAUUUUAAUGUUUGGUUGUGAAAUCCUAGCCCCAACCCGUCUACGAUGAAAAUUUUAUUGUUUGGUUGUGAAAAAUCUUUACACAAAAAAAUGGACCCCAAUGAAAAAAAUCUUGGGUCCGUCACUGUCUGAGGUGACAUGGGGCGCCACUCCACACCAUCCAGCCUUAUAGUUGUAUAGCCAUAUGAUCAUAGAAUUAAGUUAGUUGAUCAUGUAACUAGCUAGUUACAUAAACUAACUCAUUCGUAAGCAUAGUGUUAGAUACUGACCAAAUUGACUAAGAAAUACAUAUAUACUUAGAAAGGGGCUCAGUACAAAAGAUGAUAAACAAUUGUUGGGAUAAUUCUCUUUUCUAGUCGAAGGUGUAAAGGAUAGGAGAGAGAUGGCCUUCGCCAUAUUUUUAUUGAUGCCCUUGUACUCAUACGGCGAAAAGUUAUGAGUAAGAAAACACUCUCAAAUACACACAAUAGAGCUAAGAACAACUGGUAACUUGCUACAUAUCUUGGUAACUUAUUCUUUGUUCUUGAAGGACAUUUGAGUGUGAUAUAAGCUUACAAACAUACAUCAUAAGUCAUUACCGUCAUCAUCAUCACAUUAAUAACAAAGCAAAGUCAGGGUCUGAGGAGGGUAAGAUGUAGACAACCUUAUCUCUACCCCGUAGGAAUAGAGAGGCUGCUUCCAGUGAGACCCCCGGCUCGAUAGUAGUUUUGCAUUAAGCCUUAGACAUAAGACACAUAAAACUCAGUAAUCGGGACAAAGGCCGAGUAGUGCAUGUAUCAUCCCCUUGUCUUUCGGCUAUCAACGCCAUCACAUGAUGCAUGAUUAACCGUCUGCUUC
rnacentral:lncRNA from 1 species